AUCCAGAUGACGAGUCGUAAAUAGGACAAAACACGAGUCUUGCAU
rfam:Schistosoma margrebowiei strain Zambia genome assembly, scaffold: SMRZ_scaffold0001103